UCCGUAGGUGGAUAAUUAAGUCAGAGGUGAAAUCCUGCAGCUCAACUGUAGAAUUGCCUUUGAUACUGGUUAUCUUGAGUCAUUAUGAAGUGGUUAGAAUGUGUAGUGUAGCGGUGAAAUGCAUAGAUAUUACACAGAAUACCGAUUGCGAAGGCAGAUCACUAACAAUGUACUGACACUGAGGGACGAAAGCGUGGGGAGCGAACAGGAUUAGAUACCCUGGUAGUCC
rnacentral:rRNA from 1 species